AUCCAGCUGAUGAGUCCCAAAUAGGACGGAACGCGUGUCCUGGAU
rfam:Schistosoma margrebowiei strain Zambia genome assembly, scaffold: SMRZ_contig0001476